GAUGAACGCUGGCGGCGUGCCUAAUACAUGCAAGUCGAGCGAACAGACGAGGAGCUUGCUCCUCUGACGUUAGCGGCGGACGGGUGAGUAACACGUGGAUAACCUACCUAUAAGACUGGGAUAACUUCGGGAAACCGGAGCUAAUACCGGAUAAUAUAUUGAACCGCAUGGUUCAAUAGUGAAAGACGGUUUUGCUGUCACUUAUAGAUGGAUCCGCGCCGCAUUAGCUAGUUGGUAAGGUAACGGCUUACCAAGGCAACGAUGCGUAGCCGACCUGAGAGGGUGAUCGGCCACACUGGAACUGAGACACGGUCCAGACUCCUACGGGAGGCAGCAGUAGGGAAUCUUCCGCAAUGGGCGAAAGCCUGACGAAGCAACGCCGCGUGAGUGAUGAAGGUCUUCGGAUCGUAAAACUCUGUUAUUAGGGAAGAACAAAUGUGUAAGUAACUAUGCACGUCUUGACGGUACCUAAUCAGAAAGCCACGGCUAGCUACGUG
rnacentral:rRNA from 1 species